UGUUCUGUGGCAAAGUUGAUUAACGCACCCUAUCUAGCGAACAGAGCAGUCGUGGGUUUAAAUCCCACCAGAACCA
rnacentral:tRNA from 1 species